rnacentral:rRNA from 1 species
UACGUAGGUGGCAAGCGUUGUCCGGAAUUAUUGGGCGUAAAGCGCGCGCAGGCGGUCCUUUAAGUCUGAUGUGAAAGCCCACGGCUCAACCGUGGAGGGUCAUUGGAACUGGGGGACUUGAGUGCAGAAGAGGAAAGCGGAAUUCCACGUGUAGCGGUGAAAUGCGUAGAGAUGUGGAGGAACACCAGUGGCGAAGGCGGCUUUCUGGUCUGUAACUGACGCUGAGGCGCGAAAGCGUGGGGAGCAAACAGG